CUCAGGAUGAACGCUGGCGGUAUGCUUAACACAUGCAAGUCGAACGAGUCCUUUCGGGGGCAAGUGGCGGACGGGUGAGUAACGCGUGAGAAUCUGGCUCUAGGUUCGUGGACAACCACUGGGAAACGGUGGCUAAUACCGGAUGUGCCGAGAGGUGAAAGGUUAACUGCCUGGAGAUGAGCUCGCGUCUGAUUAGCUAGUUGGUGGUGUAAGGGACUACCAAGGCGACGAUCAGUAGCUGGUCUGAGAGGAUGAUCAGCCACACUGGAACUGAGACACGGUCCASACUMMUACGGGAGGCAGCAGUGGAGGAAUUUUCCGCAAUKGGCGAAAGCCUGACGGAGCAAUACCGCGUGAGGGAGGAAGGCUCUUGGGUUGUAAACCUCUUUUCUCAGGGAAYAAGCAAGYSAAGGUACCUGAGGAAYCAGCAUCGGCUAACUCCGUGCCAGCRGCCGCGSUAAUACGRAGGAUGCAAGCGUWAUCCGGAAUGAUUGGSCGUAARGCGYCCGURGRUAGCAGUGUGUGUCUAUKGUUAAAGAGUUUGGCUUAAACCAAAUAARGSCGGUAGAAMCUMCACASCUAGAGUGCGUYCGGGSCAGAGGGAAUUCCUGGUGUAGCGRUGAAAUGCGUAGAGAUCAGGAMGAMCACCGGUGGCGAAACCCUUCUGCUAGGCCGCAACUGACAUUAAGGGACGAAAGCAAGGGGAGCGAAUGGGAUUAGAUACCCCAGUAGUCCUAGCCGUAAACGAUGGAUACAAGGCGUUGGAGAGUAUC
rnacentral:rRNA from 1 species